UACAGGGGGGGCAAGCGUUGUUCGGAAUUACUGGGCGUAAAGGGUUCGUAGGUGGCUUGCUAAGUCACACGUGAAAUCCCUCAGCUUAACUGGGGAACUGCGUGUGAAACUGGCGAGCUUGAGGGUAGGAGAGGAAUGCGGAAUUCCAGGUGUAGCGGUGAAAUGCGUAGAUAUCUGGAGGAACACCGGUGGCGAAGGCGGCAUCCUGGACCAACACUGACACUGAGGAGCGAAAGCCAGGGGAGCAAACGGG
rnacentral:rRNA from 1 species